rnacentral:lncRNA from 1 species
GGCCUGAGGACCUCAGCAAUAGAGCUGGGGGCCUUCAUGACACCUGAGUGUCAAUAUUCUCCUUAUAUCUUCCCAGGAUUUCCUAAGAAAAAGAGAUCUGCAGUAAUUGUCCAUGGUGGAAAAAUGAAGCACAGGUUCCUGGCCUAGAAUCAGACAGCACUCAUAAAAAGCUGAGGAAAAUAUCCCUGACACACCUGGUACAUGCUGCCUUCCAGCCCAGAAUAUUCCAGCCUCUUCUCUAAACAGAUUCUUGAAGAAAUGAAGUGUCAUGAGCUGUACUGAGAACAGUGCCCUUUUUGCCCUGUGGGUAUUUGGUGUUUAUUAAAGCAAGUCACACUGAAGUUCAAAAAGUGUCCAUGGCGGAAGGGACAGACUGUAAACUCAUCUGCUGACUCAGAACCCUGCACUGUCUAUUCACUUCAUCAAAUCUCCUGCCAUUAUGAACAGUCCUUGGGAGAUGUUCCCGGGGUGACAGGUCUUGGGCCACCCCUCAAAUCCCAUCACGUCGGCAGCCCCCUGCCCUAAUAAUAACGAUCUAGUGCCUGCUCAUGUGGCUUUGCAGAACUCCAAAACCAGUACACCGCCACUUAGAAACCCUGCUUUCAAAGUAUAUUUAUAAUUGCUAAUCAUCACCAGUUUGGUGACUUCAACAGAAGGUUGAAAACCUCUUACAAUACAAAGCAGCGCAUGUACAGACAAACAAAAGACAUGUAUGUUCCAGUUGACCCACCAUUAGGGAUCCCAGCGUUGACCAAUCAAUUAAGGCAAAUGACAAUCUUAUCCUUCCCCCUUGUAACCAGAAAGUGAACUGCGUGGUGUUAUUCUGGCAAUAUACAAGCGUCAGGUGCUCCAUCAGCCACAUGCCUAAUGCUUUUAACACCAGUUUAUACUUGUUGCUUGAGUCAAUAAUUCCAUUAAGAGUUUAAAGUGAUUAUCAGCCAGGGUUUUUGGUAGGCUAUGGAUGGCACACUUUAAUUAAUUAAAGGUUAAUUAAGAAUACUUUUAUGAAGGAGCUAUUUACUGAGGUGUGGGCAGGGCAGCAAGAACCAUCAAGGGAGGGUGCAGCACCCAGGAAUGAGUACCAGUGGGCAGCUAUUACCACCCCUAGUCCUGAAGGAGUGGUGCUCCCGGCACUGGGCGGGCUGUAGCCCUGGGAAACGAGCUGACCAAUGGGAGCCAUGGCUGCCAACAGAGGAAUGCAGUCAUGACCCAGACCUUGACCUGGCAGGGCACUCCAAAAGAAAUGAAAUUUUUCUGAUAACUUUGCUCUCUGUUUCUUGCCUGAAACACAG